UGUUGUACAUAUUCCAACACUUCUGCCUUACACAGUUCCAUGAAAAAGUAUAUGCCCCCUUCUGAUUUUUUCUUACUGUUACAUUUUUGUCAGACUAAAUGGUUUGAGGUUCUCAUACAGAAUGUAAAAUAAGGCAAGGAGAACAUGAGGAAGCACAGUUUUUAAAUGAUCAUUUCCAGUACUGAAGGAAAAUAUGUUUUGCAACACCUUUAUCACCUCAAUAACCGGAUGUGACACCUUUAGCAGCAGCAACUGCAACCAUGUUUCAUUUCAUCUCUACAAAAACCCCCAGAAGAAAAUCUGGUCAAUUCUGUCUACAAACUGCUGAAGGCUGUGAAUACAGUUUCCUUCAUGAACACACGUUCUGCAGUGAGGUGUUUGUGGUGAGCAGAGCGCGUCUGCAGGUCUCUACAGCGGCAGAUAAAGCCAAGAAAACAAGGUGGAUGUUCAUAGCUAGUUAACUCACCAUACUUAUAGAGAGCUUCAAGGCUGCAGGAGAUCACUCACAGACACUUCCUCUGUGCAAAAUAAGGGUUUUGCUCACUGUUGCCACUCUGGUGGUCAUGGCUGGUGCUACCAGCAUCUCUCUGGAAGAUCUGGAGUUCCAAGCAUGGAAACUGAAGUUUGUGCAUUACAACCAUUUCCACCCCUCUCAGUGUGAUCUGGCUGGACAAUCGUAAGCUGGUCCUGAAGCACAACAUGCUGGCUGACCAGGACAUCAAAAGCUACAGACUUGGAAUGAACCGCUUUGCAGACAUGGAUAAUCAGGAGUACCAGCAGAUGUUCAAGGGCUGCCUGGGAUCCUUCAAUGGGUCCGAGAUUGAGAGGGCCACUACAUUUCUCCAACCGGUAGAGGACGCUGCUCUGCCUAGCACUGUGGACUGGAGGGCUGCAGGCUACGUGACUGAGGUUAAGGACAAAAGUCAUUGUGGCUCCUGCUGGGUCUUCAGUGCGGUGAGUUACAGCAGGACAGACAGAGAGGGAGAACCAGAUGGAGGGAUAAUUUGAAGUAGCAGUGGGUGGUAAAGAUAAAUAUUUGUCUUUAAAAUUUCUGAAAGUACCUGGGUCUUUAUCUUCUUGCAUUGUGCAAGUACCUCCCAGGGAAGGACACACUUCCCAACAUGUAAAAACCAAAACAGUUUUGUAGAUAAGCAGUCAACAUCAGCCAUAUAAAACCACCCAUUCUUUGCCAUUAUAUCAGUAAAAAUACUGUAUAUUUGUAUUCAAACCAUAAAGAAUUACACAUUCUGAUCAGUCUUCUGAAUCUGUUUAAAUACAUACUAAGCAUGAAUUAUGUAUAAAAAAAACAUCAUCAUCAUCAUCAUUACUCCACUGAUAGACAUUAGUAUGGCUAGUGACUCACUGUAUAAAAUAAGAUUGAUUUGCUUGAGACUCCACCUUUGCAGUAAAAAAACAAAAGAAAGACAAUAUAUGCAAAUAAACUACACUCAUAUUUUGUUUUUGGGUUAUUUUUGACCAUUAAUUGAAGCUAUUGAAGAGGAAAUUUGAU